AGGCCUCAGUUUUCUUCUCGUAGUUAUUCCAUCAAUUUAAACAGUUUCAGAUACCCAAUUUGCUCUCUACUCCUAGCUUGUGUUUCAUUUUCCUCAAUUUCUCAAAAUUCCCAUCUGCAUGUUAUCAAUUUCAACACUUUGAACCCCAAUUCUGUUUCACCUCCAAAAACGCUCAAACUUUUCUGUCCAUAGCUUCAUAAUUUCCAUCUGGGUCUGAUCAGUUUGCUCUAAAGACUCAAACUUUCGUGUCUCGUGGCUCA
rnacentral:lncRNA from 1 species